GGGGGGGGGGGGGGGGGGGGGGGGGGGGGGGGGGGGGAGGGGGGGGGCGCGGCGUGCGGGGGGGGGGGGUGGGGGGGGGGUGGGUGACACGUGGGUAGCCUGCCCUCUGCUUUGGGGUGACGCCCGGGAAGGGGUGCUGAUACUGGAUAUUCACGGAUUCUCGCAUGGGGGUGGGUGGAAAGGUUUGUUCUGGUGGGGGCUGGGCUCGCGGCCUAUCAGCUUGGUGGUGGGGGGAUGGCCUACGAAGGCUUUGCCGGGUAGCCGGCCUGAGAGGGUGACCGGUCACAUUGGGACUGAGAUACGGCCCAGACUCCUACGGGAGGCAGCAGUGGGGAAUAUUGCACAAUGGGCGAAAGCCUGAUGCAGCGACGCCGCGUGAGGGAUGGAGGCCUUCGGGUUGUAAACCUCUUUCGCUCAUGGUCAAGCCGCAGCUUGGGGUUGUGGUGAGGGUAGUGGGUAAAGAAGCGCCGGCUAACUACGUG
rnacentral:rRNA from 1 species